ACACAUGCAGUCGAGCGGAACGAGUUAUCUGACCCUUCGGGCGACGAUAACGGCGUCGAGCGGCGGACGGGUGAGUAAUGCCUGGGAAAUUGCCCUGAUGUGGGGGAUAACCAUUGGAAACGAUGGCUAAUACCGCAUAAUAGCUUCGGCUCAAAGAGGGGGACCUUCGGGCCUCUCGCGUCAGGAUAUGCCCAGGUGGGAUUAGCUAGUUGGUGAGGUAAGGGCUCACCAAGGCGACGAUCCCUAGCUGGUCUGAGAGGAUGAUCAGCCACACUGGAACUGAGACACGGUCCAGACUCCUACGGGAGGCAGCAGUGGGGAAUAUUGCACAAUGGGCGCAAGCCUGAUGCAGCCAUGCCGCGUGUAUGAAGAAGGCCUUCGGGUUGUAAAGUACUUUCAGCAGUGAGGAAGGUAGUAGUGUUAAUAGCCCUAUUAUUUGACGUUAGCUGCAGAAGAAGCACCGGCUAACUCCGUGCCAGCAGCCGCGGUAAUACGGAGGGUGCGAGCGUUAAUCGGAAUUACUGGGCGUAAAGCGCAUGCAGGUGGAUGAUUAAGUCAGAUGUGAAAGCCCGGGGCUCAACCUCGGAAUAGCAUUUGAAACUGGUUAUCUAGAGUACUGUAGAGGGGGGUAGAAUUUCAGGUGUAGCGGUGAAAUGCGUAGAGAUCUGAAGGAAUACCGGUGGCGAAGGCGG
rnacentral:rRNA from 1 species